rnacentral:rRNA from 1 species
CCUUGUACACACCGCCCGUCACACCAUGGGAGCGGGUUCUGCCAGAAGUGGGUAGCCUAACCGCAAGGAGGGCGCUUACCACGGCAGGGUUCGUGACUGGGGUG